UACGUAGGGUCCGAGCGUUGUCCGGAAUUACUGGGCGUAAAGAGCUCGUAGGUGGUUUGUCGCGUUGUUCGUGAAAACUCACAGCUCAACUGUGGGCGUGCGGGCGAUACGGGCAGACUGGAGUACUGCAGGGGAGACUGGAAUUCCUGGUGUAGCGGUGGAAUGCGCAGAUAUCAGGAGGAACACCGGUGGCGAAGGCGGGUCUCUGGGCAGUAACUGACGCUGGAGAAGCGAAAGCCAUGGGGAGCGAACAGG
rnacentral:rRNA from 1 species